CCCCUCUCAGGGUCACAUUGGGAGAGUUUCCAGUACUCUACCAGUCUUUACUAUAGGAGGGAGAGUCGGGCAGUGACAUAUCCAUUCCAUUCCUAGCUUGGCCAGUGGCUAGUGAGUGGAAGGCAAUCUGUUACAGUU